AACCGGGCGUUAAGUUGCAGGGUAUAGACCCGAAACCCGGUGAUCUAGCCAUGGGCAGGUUGAAGGUUGGGUAACACUAACUGGAGGACCGAACCGACUAAUGUUGAAAAAUUAGCGGAUGACCUGUGGCUGGGGGUGAAAGGCCAAUCAAACCGGGAGAUAGCUGGUUCUCCCCGAAAGCUAUUUAGGUAGCGCCUCGUGAAUUCAUCUCCGGGGGUAGAGCACUGUUUCGGCUAGGGGGCCAUCCCGGCUUACCAACCCGAUGCAAACUGCGAAUACCGGAGAAUGUUAUCACGGGAGACACACGGCGGGUGCUAACGUCCGUCGUGAAGAGGGAAACAACCCAGACCGCCAGCUAAGGUCCCAAAGUCAUGGUUAAGUGGGAAACGAUGUGGGAAGGCCCAGACAGCCAGGAUGUUGGCUUAGAAGCAGCCAUCAUUUAAAGAAAGCGUAAUAGCUCACUGGUCGAGUCGGCCUGCGCGGAAGAUGUAACGGGGCUAAACCAU
rnacentral:rRNA from 1 species